CCUACGGGAGGCAGCAGUGGGGAAUAUUGGACAAUGGGCGAAAGCCUGAUCCAGCAAUGCCGCGUGAGUGAUGAAGGCCUUAGGGGUUGUAAAGCUCUUUUACCAGGGAUGAUAAUGACAGUACCUGGAGAAUAAGCUCCGGCUAACUCCGUGCCAGCAGCCGCGGUAAUACGGAGGGAGCUAGCGUUGUUCGGAAUUACUGGGCGUAAAGCGUGCGUAGGCGGUGAUUCAAGUCAGAGGUGAAAGCCUGGAGCUCAAACUCCAGAACGGCCUUUGAAACUAGAUCGCUAGAAUUAUGGAGAGGUAAGUGGAAUUCCGAGUGUAGAGGUGAAAUUCGUAGAUAUUCGGAAGAACACCAGUGGCGAAGGCGACUUACUGGACAUAUAUUGACGCUGAGGUACGAAAGCGUGGGGAGCAAACAGGAUUAGAUACCCUGGUAGUCCACGCCGUAAACGAUGAUAACUAGCUGUUCGGGCUACUCAGAGCUUGAGUGGCGCAGCUACGACAUUAAGUUAGUCCGCCGUGGGAGGUACGGUCGGCGAGUAAGUAAACGUACGUUAAAGAAAGUAGUUAGGCGUGAGACGNGCGACGGACGACGACGAGGGAGGAGG
rnacentral:rRNA from 1 species